GACCUCGGAUCAGGUAGGGAUACCCGCUGAACUUAAGCAUAUCAAUAAGCGGAGGAAAAGAAACCAACAGGGAUUACCUCAGUAACGGCGAGUGAAGCGGUAACAGCUCAAAUUUGAAAUCUGGCCGCAAGGUCCGAGUUGUAAUUUGUAGAGGAUGUUUCGAGCAUGGUCUGGCCUAAGUUCCUUGGAACAGGACGUCAUAGAGGGUGAGAAUCCCGUAUGCGGUCAGGUGCCUACGCUCAUGUGAAACUCCUUCGACGAGUCGAGUUGUUUGGGAAUGCAGCUCAAAAUGGGUGGUAAAUUUCAUCUAAAGCUAAAUAUUGGCCAGAGACCGAUAGCGCACAAGUAGAGUGAUCGAAAGAUGAAAAGCACUUUGGAAAGAGAGUUAAACAGUACGUGAAAUUGUUGAAAGGGAAGCGC
rnacentral:rRNA from 1 species